rnacentral:rRNA from 1 species
AAUGAACGCUGGCGGCAUGCGUAACACAUGCAAGUCGAACGAGAGAUUCCGGGCUUGCUCGGGAGAGUAAAGUGGCGAACGGGUGAGUAACGCGUGGGUAACCUGCCCCUGAACCUGGAAUAACUUCGCGAAAGCGAGGCUAAUACCGGAUAUUGUCCCAGGGACCCCGGUCCUUGGGAUGAAAGAUGACCUCUUCACGAAAGUUGUCAUUCAGGGAGGGGCCCGCGUACCAUUAGCUAGUUGGUAGGGUAACGGCCUACCAAGGCGAAGAUGGUUAGCUGGUCUGGGAGGAGGACCAGCCACACUGGCAAUGAAACACGGGCCAGACUCCUACGGGAGGCAGCAGUGAGGAAUUUUGCGCAAUAGGGGAAACCCUGACGCAGCAACGCCGCGUGAGUGAAGAAGGCCUUCGGGUCGUAAAGCUCUGUCAAGUGGGAAAAAAGCUUGUUGGUGAAUAGCCAGCAAGACUGAUGGUACCAUUGAAGGAAGCACCGGCUAACUCCGUGCCAGCCGCCGCGGUAAAAC